rnacentral:rRNA from 1 species
GAUGAACGCUGGCGGCGUGCCUAAUACAUGCAAGUCGAGCGAACAGAUGAAGAGCUUGCUCCUCUGACGUUAGCGGCGGACGGGUGAGUAACACGUGGAUAACCUACCUAUAAGACUGGGAUAACUUCGGGAAACCGGAGCUAAUACCGGAUAAUAUAUUGAACCGCAUGGUUCAAUAGUGAAAGACGGUUUUGCUGUCACUUAUAGAUGGAUCCGCGCCGCAUUAGCUAGUUGGUAAGGUAACGGCUUACCAAGGCAACGAUGCGUAGCCGACCUGAGAGGGUGAUCGGCCACACUGGAACUGAGACACGGUCCAGACUCCUACGGGAGGCAGCAGUAGGGAAUCUUCCGCAAUGGGCGAAAGCCUGACGGAGCAACGCCGCGUGAGUGAUGAAGGUCUUCGGAUCGUAAAACUCUGUUAUUAGGGAAGAACAAAUGUGUAAGUAACUAUGCACGUCUUGACGGUACCGAAGCAGAAAGCCACGGCUAACUACGU